UUUAGCAAAAACCCACGACAUUCCUCUAACCUCCCAUGAUCUCUUUCACAAUUCUCCUUCACUAUCUAACUCAGCGUGCGGAUCUCUAACUUCCCUGAAUCAUUAUUUUUUAAAAUUUCCAUUCGAUCUUUUCAAUCAUCCAAGUGUUUGUCGAAUUCAUUGGCAUAGUUGAAAUUUUGGGGCUAAGGUGGGCUUGAUUCCUUUGGAGGCCAAGCGUUUGAAGAAUUGAAACAUUGGGUUGAUGUGACCUUGAAUUGGCCUGGAAAUGGAACCACAAGAACAUGGCUAUUUGCAACAACAUGGAGAGAAGGAUAAAUCAUUUACUUUUGAGUACUUUCCAGGGAUUCCUACUUAUUUCCAAGAGAUGAUUGACGAGCUAAGAGAUAUGUGGGUGAAUUAUUUAAACAAUCAAACACAAGACGAUGGAGAUUGAAGACGACGAUCAAGUUUGAAAUUUACAUAUUAUUUGAUAAUAGAAUUUUAGUUUUAGUAGCUAGCAUUAGAUUAUAAAAACUUUAUUUUAAGACAUUAUUAGAAGAAAUUGAUGCUUUCAAUCAAAUUGGUUUUGCAUAUAAAUUAGAUGUAGCAAAAUUUUUUUUGACAUGAUGAAUAAAGCAAGCAAGAAUUUUUAUUUAAUAA